rnacentral:tRNA from 1 species
GGGAAUAUCGUAUAGGUGGUCAUUGUACGUUGGACUGAAAAUCCGAAGGCUGGGGUUCAACUCCCUGUGUUCCCA